AGCGAACGCUGGCGGCAGGCCUAACACAUGCAAGUCGAACGGACCCUUCGGGGUUAGUGGCGGACGGGUGAGUAACACGUGGGAACGUGCCUUUAGGUUCGGAAUAGCUCCUGGAAACGGGUGGUAAUGCCGAAUGUGCCCUUCGGGGGAAAGAUUUAUCGCCUUUAGAGCGGCCCGCGUCUGAUUAGCUUGUUGGUGGGGUAAUGGCCCACCAAGGCUACGAUCAGUAGCUGGUCUGAGAGGAUGACCAGCCACAUUGGGACUGAGACACGGCCCAAACUCCUACGGGAGGCAGCAGUGGGGAAUCUUGCGCAAUGGGCGAAAGCCUGACGCAGCCAUGCCGCGUGUGUGAUGAAGGUCUUAGGGUUGUAAAAUACUUUCACCGGUGAAGAUAAUGACUGUAGCCGGAGAAGAAGCCCCGGCUAACUUCGUGCCAGCAGCCGCGGUAAUACGAAGGGGGCUAGCGUUGCUCGGAAUUACUGGGCGUAAAGGGAGCGUAGGCGGACAUUUAAGU
rnacentral:rRNA from 1 species